rnacentral:rRNA from 1 species
GAUGAACGCUGGCGGCGUGCCUAAUACAUGCAAGUCGAGCGAACGGACGAGAAGCUUGCUUCUCUGAUGUUAGCGGCGGACGGGUGAGUAACACGUGGAUAACCUACCUAUAAGACUGGGAUAACUUCGGGAAACCGGAGCUAAUACCGGAUAAUAUUUUGAACCGCAUGGUUCAAAAGUGAAAGACGGUCUUGCUGUCACUUAUAGAUGGAUCCGCGCUGCAUUAGCUAGUUGGUAAGGUAACGGCUUACCAAGGCAACGAUGCAUAGCCGACCUGAGAGGGUGAUCGGCCACACUGGAACUGAGACACGGUCCAGACUCCUACGGGAGGCAGCAGUAGGGAAUCUUCCGCAAAGGGCGAAAGCCUGACGGAGCAACGCCGCGUGAGUGAUGAAGGUUUUCGGAUCGUAAAACUCUGUUAUUAGGGAAGAACAUAUGUGUAAGUAACUGUGCACAUCUUGACGGUACCUAAUCAGAAAGCCACGGCUAACUACGUG